UCAGCCCAGCCGUGUCUUAGGAGACAAUUAACCUAAGGAAAAGUUUCUGUGUGGGGAACACGUACCUCCGCCCACUGGAUGAACUGCGUGGGGCUGAACUUGUCAGGAGGAGAAGCAUUGGGUUUCAAACGCGGUAACAAAGACAGAAACAAAUUCGCACGUCAGCGAAGACAAAGCCAGAUGCUUUCGCAAAUCAAACCCUGCAGACAGGAGUAAGUUUUCUCUUGGGGAUGCAUUUUAUGCGCUGUUAUAUUACCUUCUACAUCACGGCUGACGUCUCGGGGUUCCAUAGAUCAGGAUCCUGACCGACCCUGGUGCCGCCCUGUAUGGCCCCGUGUGACGUGAUCGCCCCUUCUCUUGGAAUUUUCUACUGAAAGCCAUGGCUUGUUAAGAAAAGUCCUCCAAGUAUGAAGCAGAGAAGGGAGAAGAGCUUUCAGAGAGCGAGAUCAUGAGCAGGGGAGGGGCAGAGGAGAGCAGGAGACAGAAGCCCAAGCAGGCUCCAUGCUGCCACGCACAGAGCCCGACGGAAUCCAACCCAUGAACCGUGAGAUCAUGACCGGAGCUGAAACCACGAGUCUGACGCUCAACUGACUGAGCCGCCCGGGGGGCCGCAGCAGCUAGGGAUCUCUAAAGGACAAAAGAAAAUCAGGAGAUUUAAGGCUUUCUCUUUAGGGCCCUGUCAAGGGUUAAAAGAAAGAGGGAACUUGGAACAGAGCCAGCUACAUGAUGCGUGGGACCCAGUGCAAAAUGAAAACGCAGGGCCCCUUGUUCAAAAAGCAGAAGAAAGGGUCAUUAAAGGCACUAAAACGUAAAGCUGUUUCUUUCCCUCCACGGCCUCUCUCUCUCUCUCUCUCUCUCUCUCCACUUCUCAUGAUUUGUUUUUUAAUUUGCUCUUUAAUGUUGAUCUAAGCAAAGAAAAAUUAAAAAUUUAAAUUAUUAGCAUGAGCAUCGGUGUUCAUCGUCAUAUUGCGCGUGCCAGUUUGAAUGCAAAUAUCAGUGCGUUUAAUUCACGUGCAGCCUCAGGAAGGUUACGCAGUUCAUAUUUCAUAGCUUAUACAUUCAUGUGGGUCCUUUUUUUUUUUUUCUUCUUGACAAAACAGUAUGAGGGGGGAGAAAGGCAGUCCUUGACGUCUGGGAACCGGAUUUGACGCUCACAGCUUCGGCCUCCGUGUUCUUGCAAACGGAUCGGCCACUUACGCUUAAGCCUGCGUUCUCCUGUCGGCUGAACAAUCUCACCGAACGUGUCCGGAGACCGGGUCCCCGCACGGCCCACAAAAUACUUGCUGAAUGAGCAACGCUACGUCUUUGCCUAUGACAGCUGUAGCCUCACUCGACCUGGCCCUUCUGAUGAAAAAGAUUUAUUAGGAGACCCGCUCACGGAACUGCCCCUGCUUUGUGACCACAUCUGAUCUAGAACAAGCCUCAUUCCUUAGAUGCUCCCCCAAGUCACCCAACCAGAGCCCCAGUCCUGUAACGGGGCCUGACACCCUCUUACUAAGGCUGCCCGGGAUUCCCACGGCCGAUGCGAAUUCCUCGCCGUGACGGGGGUUAAACCCGCCUUGUUCUGAUGCAGUUGUGUUCCUGCGAGGCUUGCGGCCCCUGACUGACUCGACCGCUUUUAUUGCGCUUCUCGCUAUGCCCACGGUCCAUGGGCACGAUCCGCCCAUAGCCUCGGAUGGGUGGCAAAGCGGGGAAGGAAAAGGACGUCUGGGAGCCUGUCCGUCCCUCCCUUCUGUGGCGUCACCCGUGGGCCUGACAUGAGUAGGGAAGGGGACGAUGGGGUUCCUCCAUUGCUCUGUUUUUCACAGUUUUCCUUCUGUGUUAGGGGCCAAGUUCUUUUUCACACAGGAGGGAUGGCCUCUCGGGGGCAGUCAGCAUCUCUGUUUACUCGGUCCCAGAUGUGACACAGUGGCCUUGCCCUCACUUUGCGUCCCACCGAACCCUACAAAUUAUGGAUCAGCAGGUAUUCUGUGCUCUGGGGGCCCCCUGAAUGCUACAGGUCAACGGAUGACUGGAUGGUGGACGUGCCCAGCGGGCAACUAUUUUCUGCUCAUGUGCACGCUCCGUUGUCCCCUCAGGCCUCAUUUACAAAACGCCAGUUCAAAGACAACGUUAGUAAGAACACCAGGACAGCGACAACAGAUCAGCAAACCAAGCAGGGGGCCCUUCCCCAUGGGCCCCACGCCAACGCACGGGUGUAUGUCCAUGAGGAUGGCCCUGCCCAGCAAUGAACUUAAGAGCGGUGACAGAGACCCUUGGUUGUGCUUAGUGAAUUGAACCCGAAUACUUAUCCCUAACCUUUUGUUCAACUUGUCACGCCCGAGGGCUAUAAAACAAUCCCAUCAAUGACGUGGAAGAAAGGAUCCCUGGGACAGCCUGUCUUGUCCCGGAAGGUCCCAGCUCAUCCCACCCCAUUGUGAGAAUCCCUGUCCUAAAAAAAUUCUUUGAUUUUUUUUUUUUAAGUUUAACUGUGAUAACAUUUUAUUUGUGGCACUUUUAAGUGUGGAAGAAUUAUGGUCAAGAUCUAGUUUCAAAGCGAUAGCCUAAGUAUCUUAAAUAAGUGACAGACCAUGUUCUACAACUCCCUUGAAGAAAUAAUUCCAUUUUUACCAAAGACAGAAAGGAAGGCAAUUUUGACGAUAGCCUGUGAGAUCUCCUCGCUUUCCGUGAAGAAUGUCUCCCUCAGAACACAUUUUUGACGUGUGGCAAGAUUCUCCACGUCAAAGCCCGCUCUCUUGGCCACGUGCUCGUUGAUUCUGUAACUCCGGGUCAGCACCAACCAAUAGAAAUAGCGUAGGAGUCACAGAGGUAAUCUUGAGUUUUUCGGGAGCCACAUCUAGUUUAAAAGUUAAAGGAAACAGGUGAACUUCACAUAAAUAUUUUUUUAAAUGGAUUUUUUUUUAAAAGUGUGUAUUUAUCUAUUUUUAGAGAGAGAAAGCAAGCUUGAGCAGGGGAGAGGCAGAGAGAGAGGGAGGGAGAGAAUCCCAAGCAGGCUCUGGGCUGUCAACGCAGAGCCUGACACGGGACUUGAACCCACGAGCCAUGAGAUCAUGUCCUGAGCCGAAGUCAGACGCUUCACUGACUGAGCCACCCAGGCGCCCCAUAUAAAUAUUUGAUGUCAACCAGCGUACCCUAAAUAUUAUCUUUUCAACAUGUAACUGAUACAAAAAUCAUGAAUGAGACAGGUACCUUCUAUGACAUUCUAUCUGGUGUGGAUUUCACUCAAGCACACCUUUGCUCGUCUGUCACGUUUCGGAUGCUUGGAAACCACACGUGGCCAGCAGCUACCCACAAUGAACAGAGCUCUCCAUGUUCAGGUGUCCCGGCCACACGGCCUGAAUAAAGCGACAGCCAUCAUGGUGGCUCCCAGAGAGAAAUGGUUGCUCGGAUUCUGGGACGAUGGUCUGGCAAUUCAGUUUCGGUACCGUUAGAUACACGGCUGUUGAGCAGACUAAGUUAAGACUCUAAUGUAAAGUCCGACCCCCAAAGUCAAUGUGAUUUGAGAGCAAGAAGUGAAUACAAGGCGAAUACCUCAGCUAGCCCUCGGGGCCAAGGUUAGGGAACACGGAAGCGGUUUGAACAUUAGAGGAGACACAGUAAACCCAAGGAGACAGACCAUUUCUGCCCCAUGGCCUCGAUUGCUCAACGAAUCAUUUUUUCUUCGGGGGGGGGGGAUUGUGCUCUUUCCCCAACAGUGAUUGUUGGCACCUGUUUGGCCCGUUUCACCGAGAGCGGAGUCUGCAUCUCCCAAUCUGGUCAUCUUGGAGCUGGGGACAGGGACAGCGUGGAGCUGGGGAUGUGGAGCCCGUGAAGUCUCCGGUGCUUCAAGCAGAGAACUAAGUCCCCAUCGUGCAACGGCGUCCAAUUUCCAUGGGAAAAUUACUCUGCAGGAAAACGACACUGAGCCUGCUCUCUGUUUUGCCAGCCGAUUAUCCAGGCUCUCAGGCCCUGGCUUAUGAUGAUGCAGGAGAGCCCGGGCUUAGGUCGAGAGAGAGAGAGAGAGAGAAGCCCCAGAUAAAACCGUGUCCUGGCUUACAUUUCAGAGCUGACCCUGCAGCUGAGACGGAACAGCAGGGGAGAGACGGGGGGGGGGGGGGGGGGGGGGUUAUUGCAUUAACCCGCGGAACAUUCCGAACGAAAACUUUCAUUGGGGUAUCAAUAAUUCAGACUUCUCCAUCUGCUAGUCUGAGCAGAUGACAUUUAUUUUAACAGGCCCUCUUUGGGAGGGGGCAUGGAAUUCGACUCACGGUGUGCUUUGUUUUAAAGCACAGAAACGCCUUUGCUGUAGUCGUGUGGUACUGCUCCGGUGUCUUUAGUCCUUCGCUUUCAUGCAAACUUCAGAAACGUAAGGGGACCUCAGUUCCUCUCUGCUCCUACUGGCCCUCUAGCCUGCCUCCAACCCAGCUCUGCGCCUACUUUGUCUCAGACGCUUUGGCUAAUUUAAUCGUGCCCCGCUAAUUUUUGCUCCUAGAAAUGUAUAACUUGCAUUACAGUCAUUUUACAUUUUUCUAUGUUUUCACUCUCUGAGUCUCUGGGCUUUUUUUCUUUCUUUGUUAAUAGGUUCACCUGACACCCCUGGCUAGAUUUGCAAGAUUCGGAGGUGAGCGAUGGGGUCUUUAAUUUGCUGUUGCUACGUUCUUCCAAUUUCUGAAACUGUUUCUCCCAUCUGUUGUUCCCACAGGCGGGGAUGGACUAACCGCGACCCCAGGGCCAAUUCUGGCCCUCCAUCUGUUUUUAUCAAUAAAGCUUUAUUGGAACAGAGCCAUGCUCGUUCGCUUCUGUACUGUCUCGGGCUACAGCGCAGAGCUGAACACCUACAACUGUCUGGCCCACCAAGUCUAAAAUAUUUAUUCUCUGGCAGUUUCCAGAACACCUUGGCUGAUCUCUGCUGCAGACUUAUGCCCCUCUGUCUGGAACAUUAGGGGGGGCAGAGGGGAAGAGUCAAGCAGACGUGGCUCCGACUCCCAUUGACUCUGUCGCCCCCCUGGGGGUUUCCCUGACCCUCCCUGAACCUCCUCAUUUACAAAACGGGAACCAUACCGUCAACCUUACAGAACCCCGACGAGAAUUACCUGAAGUAAGUGCUUAAAAAGGACACAGCAUAGUUCUGGAUGGAGAAGAUAAAAUAAUCAUAGUAGAAUAAAUGGCUUCGUAAUAACGACAAGGGUCACCGUCAUCAUUACCAGCUGCCACCUCCUGUGCCAAAGGGAACCUCAAAUAGAAUGUUUUCCAGGAUGACUCUCCAGGGAAGCCCGUCAGAUGGGAGAAAAUGCUGCUAGAAGGUUCUGUAGGAAAAACUUCUCCCCAGGUCCCACGCCCUCUUUCCCCACCUCUGCUGGGGAAUCCUUAUCUUACCUUAUACGUGCUAGCAGCAGUAUCUGCCAUUACGAGGCACACCCAAUACUUGGGUGUAGACGUGCAGUGUUUGCCUGAAGUCAAGUUUACGGGCAGCGUCCGCUUGGGUGUUAUCCAGUUAGGGCCUCAGCAAGAAGUAGGCGUGCCCACUGUGUUCCCGUGGGUUCUCCGGAGAAACAGAGCCGAUAGGAGAUGAAUGUCUAUAUAUAGCAAUCUACGUACAUACAUAUGUACGUACCUACCUACCUACCUACCUAUCCUAUCUGUCUAUCUACCUUUCUAUCUCCUACCUACCUAUCCUAUCCAUCUAUGUAUCUAUCAUCUAUCUCUCUAAUAAGAAGUUGGUUCACACCGUUGUGGAGGACUUGAGAAGUCCUCAGGUCUGUAAGCCGUAGACCCAAAGUUUCUGAUGAUUGGAAAAACUCCUUAUUUGGGGGAUAUUAAAAUAAUGUUGUAGAGGCAUAGCUAUGGACAUUCUUAAUAUAAUAUAAUAUAAUAUAAUAUAAUAUAAUAUAAUAUAAUAUAAUAAGGCUGCUUGCGGCCAAUGGAACCAUUGAAGGCGAUAACACAGAGCGGUGCAAGGGGCAAAUGUUGACUCUACUCCAAUGGCUCUGGUGGCGGGGGCCACUCGGGGCGCUCUAUGGGAAGAGUCCUGCGGAACCUUCUGGGAACCUCAGCGGCAUGGAGCGUGGGCAGGCCGUGGUUCUCUACAGCUGCCGACACAGACAGUGACCCUUUCUCCAACGUGAUGAGUUCUUCUUUCCUUCCAGCUCGAAGACCUACUUUUUCCAGGUGGAUUCUACGUUCUAGUGGUUGUUACUUACUCCGCGAUUUGACGCUAUCUUACGCAAACCAGGUAUUCCACAAAACAUUUGCUAAACGAAUCCAUGAUCGUGAAUCCCUGUAUGUAUCUAUCAUCGCCUGAAAUUUUUUGUUCAAAGCCAAAGAUACGUAUUUAUUUUCUACCUCAGUGGUACAAUGAAAGGAUAUCAAAUAUUUUAAAAAUGCUUUUGAGUGUUUCGGAGGAAACACAUGUACCAUUUACAUGGAGUUGUUAUUACUUCCGUUCCCGGGGAUGGGGCUAUUCUGGCAAGCCUCAGGUCCCCAGCAUCGGUUUCCUGUUUGCACACUGGUAUUUUCUAGAAUCUUCACUGUAUUUCCCCCUCUUCUUCUGCCAUAUUUCAUGAGCUCUCCUUCAUAUCCACCUCAUGAGUUGCCUUUGAUCAGAGACUGAGGACUCCCCUGACGUAUUUAAUUUCAAGUUGUGGCUCUCCAUUCUGGGAGGUGCGGUAGAAACUUUGCAGUGUAGACAUCAUGCUGUGUUCUCUUUCCUCAGGGGAAGCCCUUGAAUCUACCAAAUUUCAACUCUCGUCGAGGCUGUUUCAUAACCGUAAGAAUGGAUUGGAAACUCGCAGACAGUAGAGAUCACAGCCUCUCUAUUAGUGAGCGUGGGGUAAAAUAUGUAAUCCAUUAUCAAUAAAUAUCUGUUGCUUGGUGCUGUGGGCUGAGUAGCAGCCCCUCACCCCCAAUUCAUAUGGUGAAGUCCUAGCCCCGCCCUGUGACUGUAUGUGGGGAUAGGGCUUUCCUCCAGAGGUGAUUAAGGUUCAGUGAUGUCACAGGGUGGGGGCCUGACUUGGUGGGAUUAGUGUCCUCAUAAGAAGAGGGAGAAGUUCCAGAGAUCUCUCUGUCUUUGCACAGAGAAGAGGCACCAGAAGGCAGCCGUCCACAAGCCAACAAGAGACAUCUCACCAGACACCAACCAUGCUGGGACCCUCAUCUCAGGUUUCCGGUCUCCAGAUCUGUGAGAAAAUAAAUGUCUGCUGUGG